AAAUUCACGGGAUAUUCACAAAGAGAUCAACUAUCUUCAAAGUCCCAAUAAAUUCAUGGGAUAUUUAUAGAUUCAAACCCUUUCUUAUUGAUAAUCAAAUACAUCAAGAAGAUCCACAAAACCUCCUUUCAUGGAGAUCAAAUUCAAAUAUUCCUACGUUCGAGAAAUACGCCACUAAAGGCCCUCGAAUUACGGCGAAAUUCAUAUCCAAAUCUUCAUACAUUCGAGAAAUAUGCUACCGAUGGCCCUCGAAUUACGGAGAAAAUUAAAAGAGAAGAAUUAAGGGAGG
rnacentral:lncRNA from 1 species